rnacentral:rRNA from 1 species
UACGUAGGGGGCAAGCGUUGUCCGGAAUCAUUGGGCGUAAAGAGCGCGUAGGCGGUCCGGUAAGUCGGUUGUGAAAACUGGGGGCUCAACCCUCAGAGGCCGAUCGAUACUGCUGGGCUAGAGUCCGGAAGAGGCGAGUGGAAUUCCUGGUGUAGCGGUGAAAUGCGCAGAUAUCAGGAGGAACACCAAUGGCGAAGGCGGCAUCCUGGACCGACAUUGACGCUGAGGCGCGAAAGCCAGGGGAGCAAACGGG